rnacentral:rRNA from 1 species
GACGAACCGUGCGACCGUUGUUCGGAUUCACUUGGCUUAAAGGGCGCGUAGGCGGGCGGUCAAGUCAGGGGUGAAAUCUUUCGGCCUAACCGGAAAAGGGCCUCUGAUACUGGCCGUCUCGAGGGAGGUAGGGGCAUGCGGAACUUCCGGUGGAGCGGUGAAAUGCGUAGAUAUCGGAAGGAACGCCGGUGGCGAAAGCGGCGUGCUGGACCUCUUCUGACGCUGAGGCGCGAAAGCCAGGGGAGCGAACAGG